UCGCUUAGCAUGGAUGAGUGGCCGCCGAUGGCCACCGAUCUCUAUUCGAAGGAAACACUACAACAUCAGCUGCCGCUAGGCUCUGCUGGAUUAACCUUAGAUUGCUGCCUUUUGCUUUAGAUGGAGAUCAAUAGAGGAUUUUCAAAAUGUUUCACCAGAAGAGGAUUUAAAAACCCCACCAAAGGAUGGAGAUCAAUAGAGCACCCAAGAAUAGAGAGGAGCACCAUCGCCUUCGCUCGCGACGCUUGUCGCUGCAAUUUCCGAAUGACGGUGCGACGGUGAGAAAUGUUGGAGAUCUCAAAUCUGCAAGGAACCCAGAUCUGAGAUCUGGCCCGUCGUCUGCUUCUUCUUCAAUGUAGCUACUCAUUGUCGAUGAUGAUUUGUUUCGAUAGGUGGGUGUUAAUUUCUCACCGCUUCGAUCUACAAGGAACCCUUUUUCUCCUAUGUUGUCGAUACUCUUAACCCAAGUCCUUUAAAUGCCCAGCUGCUCCCACCCGGGUUGGACUUUUCCCUCUCAUUCAAACUCCCCUCCAACCUUCUCUCAUGUGAACCCUAGCCAUUAUGAGACCACUGGCGACCAACAUCAACUGAUGUGUGAUGGCAAGGACUCAGCUGGAGAUUGAGUCAUUCCAAUUCUUGAGGGAAGAAGAUGAGAACUAGAUCUCAUCUUAAGCACGGUUUGAGGUUCUACAUUCGACACUCCCGAGCCCCCGUCCUCGAAAGUCACCCUGCAUUGACUAGGUUCGUGUCAAGACGAAGAAACAAGGGAAGAAGAUGAGAAUUAUGUCAGAAUAAGAGUUUCAGAAGAAUAGACCCAACCCAGGACGGGAUUCAUCCGCAACCACAUCAGGAUUGCCUGUAGCACAGGAAACAGAGAUGGGUUCAUCUGCCUUUAAUGAUUUGCAAAGCUCUGAGAGCCUUUGAGGCUGAGUUUAACUAUUUCCUUCCUUGCAGGUCUUCGUGUACUUCAACGAAUGAAAGACAAAAGGCGGUAAAAGGGAGGACUUCAUGAGAGUUUAACUGUUCAUCGUCUUCGACGAAGAACAAAGUGACGAGAGCAGAGGAUUCAGGAACCGAUCUGGUGUUGAUGGAGAGUAAUCUCUGUUUGUUAGCUCUAGAGCUCAACGGAGGGUUGAUCUUGGUAAGAAUGUUGAUUUGCGAACUGAUCUGGUAUUGAUGGAGAUAGUCGGAGGAAGAUAGAGGAAAGAGAGAGAGGUCGGAGGGGGAAGGGAGUGCCUGUUGAGAGGAAGGGGAUGAGGAUAACAUUGGGCUUUAAAAAAAUUUUAAAUGUCAUGUGAUGUAACAUUUGUACAGGUUUUGAGGAAAUAUUAACAAUUGCUAAAGAUAAGGUAGAGUUAGACAA